rnacentral:rRNA from 1 species
UACGGAGGGUGCGAGCGUUGUUCGGAAUCACUGGGCUUAAAGGGCGCGUAGGCGGGUGCUCAAGUCCGGGGUGAAAUCCUCCAGCUCAACUGGAGAACUGCCUCGGAUACUGGGCGUCUCGAGUGUGGUAGGGGUAUGCGGAACUAUCGGUGGAGCGGUGAAAUGCGUUGAUAUCGAUAGGAACUCCGGUGGCGAAGGCGGCAUACUGGACCACCACUGACGCUGAUGCGCGAAAGCCAGGGGAGCAAACGGG